CUGCUGCGGGCAGAUCCAGUGAAUAUGCGUAUCCACGCCGCCCGCGGUGACGAUCUUCCCUUCAGCGGCGAUCACCUCCGUCGCUACCCCAAUCGGGAUCGUCACAUCAGGCUGAAUAUCCGGAUUACCGGCUUUGCCGAUCGCAAAGAUCCGACCGUCUUUAACGCCGAUAUCCGCUUUGACGAUCCCCCAGUGAUCGAUAAUCAGCGCGUUGGUCAGCACCAGAUCCACACACUCGCUGGCGGGCAUUUGUCCCUGACCCAUGCCGUCGCG
rnacentral:sRNA from 1 species